rnacentral:lncRNA from 1 species
CAGUUAACAAGAAUAGUUAGCCAGAUGCAGAACUAUGGAAGCCAGAAGGCAAGGUUGAGACAGGGGCUCUUGAAUCAUCCAACUUCAAAACAUCAAGAUGGUUUUCAUCAAGAGGCAACAAAGACUGCUCUCGGAGAGGGGCACAUCUGAUGUGCUGGGAAGGAUGCCUGCUUAGACCCCUGAUGAACCUGGCUCUAUCACUGGCCAAGGUCCUUCGCUUCUCUGAGCUUUGAUUUCCUUAUCUGUAAACUGAGUUGUUCUGCAGAUUAAACAAGGCAAUCCACGCAGA